rnacentral:rRNA from 1 species
AUUGAACGCUGGCGGCAUGCCUUACACAUGCAAGUCGAACGGUAACAGGUCUUCGGAUGCUGACGAGUGGCGAACGGGUGAGUAAUACAUCGGAACGUGCCCGAUCGUGGGGGAUAACGCAGCGAAAGCUGUGCUAAUACCGCAUACGAUCUACGGAUGAAAGCGGGAGAUCGCAAGACCUCGCGCGGACGGAGCGGCCGAUGGCAGAUUAGGUAGUUGGUGGGAUAAAAGCUUACCAAGCCGACGAUCUGUAGCUGGUCUGAGAGGACGACCAGCCACACUGGGACUGAGACACGGCCCAGACUCCUACGGGAGGCAGCAGUGGGGAAUUUUGGACAAUGGGGGAAACCCUGAUCCAGCCAUGCCGCGUGCAGGAUGAAGGCCUUCGGGUUGUAAACUGCUUUUGUACGGAACGAAAAGGUCCUUUCUAAUAAAGAGGGCUCAUGACGGUACCGUAAGAAUAAGCACCGGCUAACUACGUG